UGGUUCUGGCAUCGAUGAAGAACGCAGCGAAAUGCGAUAAGUAAUGUGAAUUGCAGAAUUCAGUGAAUCAUCGAAUCUUUGAACGCACAUUGCGCCCUCUGGUAUUCCGGGGGGCAUGCCUGUUCGAGCGUCAUUUUCACCCCUCAAGCUCAGCUUGGUAUUGGGUACUCGCCUUGCUCCUCCGGGAGAUGGCGUGCCCGAAAUUCAGCGGCGGUGCGGCCGAACCCCCUAGCGCAGUGACUUGUUUUCAAACGCUACAAGGAGUUCGAGUUCGUCCCGGCCGGACAACAACCAAAUUUAUACGAUUGACCUCGGAUCAGGUAGGGAUACCCGCUGA
rnacentral:misc_RNA from 1 species